CCUGACUAUCUAGUACUGGUCAUGCUGCGUAAUUCCAUGUAAGGCAACGACAAGGUUCCACUCGCGCUAACUAAGAUCGAAGCAGGCUUCGACGGAUUUUGCCCUCGGGAAGUUGCCAGGCCCUUCGUGUUCCCUGGAGAUAGUGAUGCGGUCGCUCUUGGCAUAGGAUCAACGUGUUCAGGCACUUAUCGACGAGCAUCGUGCCGUUCCAUGCCUUCUGUUUUUGGGAGAAUCGGGAACCUUUGCCCGGAAACAAAGCGAUUCUUCUUACGUUAACCGUCCACUGAAUAUACGGCAAAGCAGUUUCAGUUACACGGUUCGACGGCUUCCAACCGAACCGACAUGUUGACUCCGAGGAUUAAUGGAACAAGCUACAGAAGUGCAUUCUACGUACGAUUCCCAUUCCAUCAACAGACAGAUCUCCACUUCUGCAUCAAGUACACAAGCCCUCAAAUUUUGACACCGACUUAAAACUGUCGCAUUGUGAUAAACAAAGUUCUGCUACAAUUCUCGUUGAACUUCCACCAAGAUUCCGACUAAAUUUGGAUCAUGGAAGCGUUUAUACGAAACAGGAACCACUAAGUAAAAGCUCGUUCCAAGAAGGACGUUAACAACUUCAGCCAUGGCGAAAAACAGUGUUUCGACAACUGAAUUACCCGAAUUCAAGCUUGUAAUGCUGCAA